rnacentral:rRNA from 1 species
UACAGAGGUCUCAAGCGUUGUUCGGAUUCAUUGGGCGUAAAGGGUGCGUAGGCGGCGCGGUAAGUCGGGUGUGAAAUCUUGGAGCUUAACUCCGAAACUGCAUUCGAUACUGCCGUGCUUGAGGACUGGAGAGGAGACGUGGAAUUUACGGUGUAGCGGUGAAAUGCGUAGAUAUCGUGAAGGAAGACCAGUGGCGAAGGCGGGUCUCGUGGACAGUUCCU